rnacentral:rRNA from 1 species
GUAAGGAAUAUUGGUCAAUGGGCGGAAGCCUGAACCAGCCAUGCCGCGUGGAGGAUGACUGCCCUCUGGGUUGUAAACUCCUUUUACGGGGGACGAAAAAAGGUUUUUUCAAGCCGUCUGACGGUACCCCGUGAAUAAGCACCGGCUAACUCCGUGCCAGCAGCCGCGGUAAUACGGAGGGUGCGAGCGUUAUCCGGAUUCACUGGGUUUAAAGGGAGCGUAGGCGGGCAUGUAAGUCAGUGGUGAAAUCCUGGGGCUCAACCCCGGAACUGCCAUUGAUACUAUGUGCCUUGGAUACUGUUGAGGUCUGCGGAAUAUGUCAUGUAGCGGUGAAAUGCUUAGAUAUGACAUAGAACACCGAUUGCGAAGGCAGCAGGCUAAACAGCCAUCGACGCUGAGGCUCGAAAGCGUGGGGAUCAAACAGG